UGGCACUAUGAACAGAGAACAUUUGCCUGUU
rnacentral:piRNA from 1 species